UCACAUUUUUAUACGACCGCAAAAAAAUUUUGUGGUCGUAUAUUGGUAUGACGUUGGCGUCGUCGUCGUCGUCGUCGUCCGGCGUCGUCGUCCGAAUACAUAUUGGUUUUCGCACUCUAACUUUAGUUUAAGUGAAUGGAUCUUUUUGAAAUUUGACCAUAAGGUUAAAUACCACAAAAGGAAGGUUGGGAUUGAUUUUGGGGGUUAUGGUACCAACAGUUAAGGAAUUAGGGGCCAAAAAGUGGCCAAAAAUGAGCAUUUUCUAGUUUCCAGACAAUAACUGUGGAACGGUGUAUGGAUCUCUCUGAAAUUAUACUACAAGUUUCCAUACCACAAAGGGAUGGUUAGGAUUUGCUUUGGGGGGUUAUGGCUCAAACCGUUUAGGAAUUAGGGGCAAAAAAGGGGGAAAAACAAGGUUGUCCUGGUUAAUGGACAAAUACUUUAGUACAAAACAUAAUUUAAAGCAGUGUAAGGGAGAUAAAUCAAAUACAUCAUUGAAAUUAUCUCCCUUACACUGCUUUUAAAUUAUGUAUAAAGUAAUGGUUAAUGAACAAUAAAGAUAAUCUAAAACAGUGUAAGGGAGGUAAUCCAAAUACAACGUUUUGGUUACUUCCCUUACACUGCUUUUAAAUUAUGUUUAAAGAAAUGCAUAUUUAUAAAGGAAGACCAGUAAAAAUAUCUGCAAAUGUUUUCAUCUUUUUUUUUUACAAAAAAAUCCAUAUGAAAGAUUUGACACUAUAUUUUUAUUAAUUCUAUUAUAAAAUAGAUUAAGUUAGCACUAUGGUAAAUUUAAAUGGGUAAUUAUGGUUGCCAACUCCAUUGGAAAUUUGAAUUGAGAUUAUGACCAUAUCUUGAGGGAAAGAAUUUUUUUGGGGGAAAAAGGGGGGGGGGGGGAUAAAAAGAAAUUGUGGGGGGCCAAUUUUUUCUCAUUUCAGAUUUCAGAAAUUAAAAAGAAUUAUUCUUCAAAUAUUAUUUUUUUUUCAAAUUUCAAAUAUUGAAAAAUUUCAAGAAGUAAUCUUUAAUUGCACAGUAUGGCGCAUUAGAUUUGUAAAAUCUUUGAUCACAUUUAUUUAUUUGUUAUGCCGAAUCUAACAGUGUAUUUAGAUUUUUAAUUUUGGGUCCAGUUUUCAAAUUGGUCUACAUUAAUGUCCAAAGGGUCCAAAAUUAAACUUUGUUUGACUUUAGCAAAAAUUGAAUAUAUGAGGUUCUUUGAUAUGCUGAAUCUAAACAUGUAUUUAGAUUUUUGAUUUUUGGCCCAGUUUUCAAGUUGGUCCAAAUUGGGGUCCAAAAUUAAACUUUGUUUGAUUUCAACAAAAAUUGAAUAUAUGGGGUUCUUUGAUAUGCUGAAUCUAACCAUGUAUUUAGAUUUUUUAUUUGUGGACCCCGUUAUCUAAUUGGUUCAUAUUGAGGUCAAAAGGGUCCAAAAUUAAACUUUGUUUGAUUUCAUCUAAAAUUGAAUUAUUGGGGUUCUUUGAUAUUCCAAAUCUAACCGUGUAUUUAGAUUUUUAAUUUUAAGUCCCAUUUUUUAAAUUGGUCUACAUUAAGGUCCAAAGGGUCCAAAAUUAAACUUAGUUUGAUUUUAGCAAAAAUUGAAUUCUUGGGGUUCUUUGAUAUGCUGAAUCUAAACAUGUGUUUAGAUUUUUGAUUAUGGGCCCAGUUUUCAAGUUUGUCCAAGUUGGGGUCCAAAAUUAAACUUUGUUUGAUUUUAACAAAAAUUGAAUAUAUGGGGUUCUUUGAUAUGCUGAAUCUAACCAUGUAUUUUGAUUUUGGACAUUGGACCAUAAUAGGUAAAUUAAAAAAAUUCAAGUUCUUAGACCACAUUCUUUCUGUGUCAGAAACCUAUGCUGUGUCAAAUAUUUAAUAACAAUCCAAAUUCAGAGCUGUAUCAAGCUUGAAUGUUGUGUCCAUACUUGCCCCAACUGUUCAGGGUUCGACCUCUGCGGUCGUAUCAAGCUGCGCCCCAGCGAAGCAUUUUAUUGUCUCGUGAGAUGAGACAUGCUUUAUACUUCCGAAGCUAGAAGACCUGGAUUCUUCAUACCUUGUAUGCUGAUACCUUAUGUUGUGAAGUUUCUGUCUGUCAUAUAUCCAUUGUCCUUGACCUCAUUUUCAUGGUUCAGUGGCUGCUUGAAAAAAAAAGUUUUUUUUUUAAAGUGAAAAUACUCACUUAUUAUGAGUAAGAGGAUAACUAUAUUUGGUAUAUGGGUUCCUUGCAUAUGGGGUCUGCCUUUACCUUAUUUUCAUGGUUCAUUUGUCAAUGUUAAGAUUUUGUGGUUUGAUCUGUUUUGCAGGUACUAUUAUCGAUAAGACCACUAUAUUUGGUGUAUGGAAUGAUUGAAAGGUGUACACUUCUGUCUAGCAUGGUUCAUCUGAACGUGACUUCAUUUUCAUGAUUCAUUGAUAACGUUAAGUUUAUAUGAGAACUUGUAGUAAAACCUUCAUAUUACAGACUUUCAACAUAACUUCAAUCAUAAGUAAAGCAGGAGAGACAUUUCAGUGUGUGCACUCUUGUUCUUUAAAUUAUCAGUAUGAGGGCUUCAUGUGUCUACUUUAAGGUUCUAACAGCAUUUUGGCAUAUUUCUGAACAUGUAGCAACAUUUAAAUUUCCUUAAAAUGGCACAAAACUGCAAUGAAAGUAAAUAUUUUUGUUGUUGUAAUUAUAUUUUUUGAAAAAAAUGAAUACAAAAGACAUUCUUAACCAAAACAAAGGUUAAAACAAAGGUUAUAUUGGAAUUAAAGCUAUGUAUUGUAUUUCAGCUACAAUUUAAUUCUUGUUUGUUAAGGAUGUCCUUUGUAGCAAAGUUUCUACAGGAAUUAUUUGCAAUGUUGUAUCAAGAUAGUCUACAAUAACAAUACAUAA